GGAGGAGCUCGGGUGAGCGGCGGACGGGUGAGUACGCGUGGGAAUGUGCCCUUUUCUGCGGAAUAGCCUCUGGAAACGGAGAGUAAUACCGCAUACGCCCUUCGGGGGAAAGAUUUAUCGGAAAAGGAUCAGCCCGCGUUAGAUUAGGUAGUUGGUGGGGUAAUGGCCUACCAAGCCUACGAUCUAUAGCUGGUUUGAGAGGAUGAUCAGCCACACUGGGACUGAGACACGGCCCAGACUCCUACGGGAGGCAGCAGUAGGGAAUCUUAGACAAUGGGGGAAACCCUGAUCUAGCCAUGCCGCGUGUGUGAUGAAGGCCCCAGGGUCGUAAAGCACUUUCGCCAGGGAUGAUAAUGACAGUACCUGAUAAAGAAACCCCGGCUAACUCCGUGCCAGCAGCCGCGGUAAUACGGAGGGGGUUAGCGUUGUUCGGAAUUACUGGGCGUAAAGCGCGCGUAGGCGGGCUGUUAAGUCAGAGGUGAAAUCCCAGGGCUCAACCCUGGAACUGCCUUUGAUACUGGCAGCCUUGAGUUCGAGAGAGGUGAGUGGAAUUCCGAGUGUAGAGGUGAAAUUCGUAGAUAUUCGGAGGAACACCAGUGGCGAAGGCGGCUCACUGGCUCGAUACUGACGCUGAGGUGCGAAAGUGUGGG
rnacentral:rRNA from 1 species